rnacentral:tRNA from 1 species
GCGCCCGUAACUCAGCUGGAUAGAGCGUCACCGCACGAAGGUGCAGGUCACACGUUCGAUCGCGUCGGGCGCGCCA